rnacentral:rRNA from 1 species
AGGACGAACGCUGGCGGCGUGCUUAACACAUGCAAGUCGAGCGGAAAGGCCCUUCGGGGUACUCGAGCGGCGAACGGGUGAGUAACACGUGAGCAACCUGCCCCUGGCUCUGGGAUAGGCCUUCGGAAACGGGGAUUAAUACCGGAUAUUCACUGCUUCCUGCAUGGGGGGUGGUGGAAAGUUUUUCGGCUGGGGUGGGCUCGCGGCCUAUCAGCUUGGUUGGGGGGGUGACGGCCCACCAAGGCGACGACGGGUAG